UGCAAGAUGUAAGUGAAUUUACGUUGGAUGUAUUUUUCGUAAUUGUUCUUUUUCUGUUUUUGUAGUAACUAAGGCUUUUGCUGCUUAAAGACUUGAUCCCUUGCAGCCUAUCAUUUUAUCUCUCCUUGAUCCUGCAGUGAAAUCAUAGGACUGCAUUUUUUUGAGUGAUAUUAUGAUCAUUUCCAUGGCAACAGACUGAUGUCCAAAGUAUGGGAUCAUGACUUCAGUGUGGGAUCAAGGAAGGGGAAAUAAAGUCCUUAUUAAAAUAUGCACUUCGUCAAUAAGAAAAGGAACUCAUGAAAAAUCCAUUAAUUUUAUUAUGCACUUCCUUCUCCAACUGAACCUCUAACAGCCAUAACCAACAGCGUGCGUUGAGGACUCUCAGCAGAACAACCUGGUUUAAUCAAGGCGGCCCCCUUUGGUGCUGCCUCAUCUGCAGGACAUCUCUCUCAACAUGCAAAGCUUUCUUCACUGGAACUUUAGAGGAAUGGGCUGCAGCUACACUAACAGCUAGAUGGCUAGCAGAGAAGAUGUGUGAGCUUCCCUCUCCACCUGUUUGGGGAAAGUGCUGAUGCUUUCAGAACACAGGCACGAUGCAUGCAGAGCUUGGCACCUUUCGCCAGGCAGAGCUGCCUGUAGCAUCGCCCUUUCCAAAUGAGAACAAAAUGUCUCGGAAUGGCACUGCUGCUUGUGUGAAUGGUGCUGCUUCUGUGAGAGCUGAAACUGAUAAACUUGCUAACAGAGCCAAGCUGGCAUUUGCUGAGUGUUAUGCAUUUGCUGGAGAAUUAUAGACUCUGCAUUUUGUGGGAGAAACACAUUUUCUUGUGUGCCCGGAGUGUGCUUAUGUUCCCUGUCCUGAGGGGCAACUGAUGGACAACCUCUGGGCAUGGCUGAGGAAACUACAACAGGAGGACUGCUGGAUUGAACCUCUGGUGGAUAGUGAGCAGUUGACUGUUCCUUAUGCAUCAUCUAGAGCUCUGAGAAAAAGAUGGGGAAGAGAUGAGCGUUCUUGGCUUCUAGUUAAGAGAGAAAUGUGUCUAAGUAUACAGAACUUCGUUUGCUUUGCUUCCUACCUGUAG
rnacentral:lncRNA from 1 species